rnacentral:rRNA from 1 species
GACGAACGCUGGCGGCGUGCUUAACACAUGCAAGUCGAACGGAAAGGCCCUUUCGGGGGUACUCGAGUGGCGAACGGGUGAGUAACACGUGGGUGAUCUGCCCUGCACUUUGGGAUAAGCCUGGGAAACUGGGUCUAAUACCGGAUAGGACUACGCGAUGCAUGUCGUGUGGUGGAAAGCUUUUGCGGUGUGGGAUGGGCCCGCGGCCUAUCAGCUUGUUGGUGGGGUGAUGGCCUACCAAGGCGACGACGGGUAGCCGGCCUGAGAGGGUGACCGGCCACACUGGGACUGAGAUACGGCCCAGACUCCUACGGGAGGCAGCAGUGGGGAAUAUUGCACAAUGGGCGCAAGCCUGAUGCAGCGACGCCGCGUGAGGGAUGACGGCCUUCGGGUUGUAAACCUCUUUCAGCUCCGACGAAGCGCAAGUGACGGUAGGGGUAGAAGAAGCCCCGGCUAACUUCGUGCCAGCAGCCGCGGUAAAAC